AUGUGGGCGAUCAUGCGGGACCCGAAGGCGUGGGAGAGGGCCGUCGAGUUCGUCCCGGAGAGGUUCCUGGAUAAGGCCGCGGCGGUGGAGUUCUGGGGCAAGGACUAUGAGUUCAUCCCGUUCGGGUCCGGCCGGCGGCUGUGCCCCGGCCCAUCGAUGGCGGAGCGGGUGGUGUCGUUUGUGCUGGCGUUGCUGCUGCACGCGUUCGAGUGGCGGCUCCCAGGUGGCGUGGCGGCCGACAAGCUGGACGUCACCGAGAAGUUCACCACUGUCAACACGCUCGUUGUGCGCCUCAGGGCCGUCCUCGUCGUGGUCACCUAG
rnacentral:rRNA from 1 species